rnacentral:lncRNA from 1 species
UGGAUUAUAAAGCAAGCGGAAGCUCACGGAUACAAUAGGAAUGCAAUCCUUAAAAUAUGGAAAGGAAUACAAACACCAAGAAGAAGUAUCGCAGACCAAGAAGAAGGCAGGAAUGGUCAGGAAGAGAGAAUAAAAACCCUAUAUUAUGGAAACAAAUCCAAUUAUUUUAAAAUAUAAGACAAUGAUUGAGAAGGUGACAGCCAGACAGCUGGUGUUAUCGAGAAAAAACACCGUUUUUAAUAUCACUAGGAAUGAUAAAGAUAGACGGGACCCGUUAGACAUGCCGGGAGUAUAUGAAAUAAAAGUAGAUAAUAGGGAUACCAGAGAACAAGAAAUUUAUAUUGGUUCGACAGCCAGAUCCAUUAGAAAAAGGCUACAGGAGCAUAAAAGUGACAG